UGCUCCACCCAGAACUCCGUCAAUGGUGGUGAACCUCUCCACCCAGCUGCUUUGGGCGUUGCCCUAGGAGAACUCUCCAGGGGAUUGCCCUAGACCCAGUGGAGGUUUUAUCCGUCUCAAAAUCCCAUCAAAUCCUCCCCACCUAAAAAAGCUGUACCUACUUACAGUGAGGUACAGAAGGCUGACCUUCUGUUCCCUGCACGGGCUCCUGUAGGCCUCUAGUUGUGCCAAACUGGAAUCUGGCCCCUCAGGCUUAGACUCCAGAGCAACCAAGUUCCAUUUGUCUGUGGGGAAAGGUGAGCCUAGGGUCCUCCUACAUCACCAAAUGCAAUGAGAAUUCCAAGAAGCUCCAUCCUAAAGGAAGAGUCCAAGCUAGAAGGCAAGGGCACUAUAGCUGGCUGUUUUUCACAAAAUGUGGCUUCGUGUUUCUUGAUGGCUCCUGUGACAAGUUGACUGUCCAGAGAAAUUUGGAUUUCACAUAUGCAGUUCCAGUGACUGCAUUCAUCCAGGUUAGACCAUAUGUCUUGGCUUCAUGUUCA